rnacentral:rRNA from 1 species
CAAUAGCGUAUAUUAAAGUUGUUGCAGUUAAAAAGCUCGUAGUUGGAUUUGUGGUGUACUUCGGCGGCCCGUCACUAUGUGAUGGAGCUUGCUGAAGUCGCCAUCCUUGGGUGGAUCCUGUGUGGCAUUAAGUUGUCGUGCAGGGGAUGCCCAUCGUUUACUGUGAAAAAAUUAGAGUGUUCAAAGCAGGCUUAUGCCGUUGAAUAAAUUAGCAUGGAAUAAUAAGAUAGGACCUUGGUACUAUUUUGUUGGUUUGCGCACCAAGGUAAUGAUUAAUAGGGACAGUUGGGGGUAUUCGUAUUUCAUUGUCAGAGGUGAAAUUCUUGGAUUUUUGAAAGACGAACUACUGCGAAANCANNNACCAAGGAUGUUUUCAUNAA